rnacentral:rRNA from 1 species
AGUGGGGAAUCUUGCGCAAUGGGCGGAAGCCUGACGCAGCAACGCCGCGUGGGGGAUGACGGCCUUCGGGUUGUAAACCUCUUUCGCGAUCGACGAAGGCCCACUUUCUGUGGGUUGACGGUAGGUCGAGAAGAAGCACCGGCCAACUACGUGCCAGCAGCCGCGGUAAUACGUAGGGUGCGAGCGUUGUCCGGAAUUAUUGGGCGUAAAGAGCUCGUAGGCGGUGUGUCGCGUCGGCCGUGAAAACCUGGGGCUUAACUCUGGGCGUGCGGUCGAUACGGGCAUCACUUGAGUUCGGCAGGGGAGACUGGAAUUCCUGGUGUAGCGGUGAAAUGCGCAGAUAUCAGGAGGAACACCGGUGGCGAAGGCGGGUCUCUGGGCCGAUACUGACGCUGAGGAGCGAAAGCAUGGGUAGCGAA